AUCCAUAUUUACAAAAUACAAAUUACAAAAAACUCAAAACUAAAUAAAAUAUUACAUUAAAACAAUUUGGAAAUUACAAAAUGAAUCAAAACAUUCCGGAACAGUGCUGGAAACCUCUAACUCGCCGGAACAGUGUUGCGAAGCCGCUGGGACAGCAGUGGCAGUGGUGGCGCGUGGAUCUCACGCAACCCCGCCACUGGCGGCGCGUGGAUCCACGCGCCACCGUGAAAACAAGGCGAAAACAGGGGGGUCUGCAACGACCUCCUCCCUCCUUCUUUCCUCGCCGGCGCCAACCUGCAGAUCAAUCAAAGAACAACACAGCAGUCGAUUUUAAUUUUUCUUAGUUUUCCAGAUCUGUUUUAUUUUCUGUUUCUGUCCGUGGUUCCUUUCUUCUUCUCCGGCGAUGGUUCUGUUGCGAAGGGGAAGGAAGGUCUGUCGUGGAUGGAGCUACUGGGGGUUGCUGUUGUGGACGACGCCGAUGGGAUGGACCGACGCUGCUGUUGUCGUCUGCGGGGGCUCUUGCUGCCGUCGUCCGUUCGACUGACUUCGUUGUGGAGAAGAGAGCAGCUGUUGAGCGGUGGUUGGUGAAGAUGGAGGAUCGUGGCCGAGAGAGAGGAGAAGGACGGCGCUGCUGCCGCCACUGCUGGGGGCCGAAUGGAGGAGAGCAGAUCGGCGAUUGGCUGGGGGAACGGCUGCUGAAACUAGGAGGCGAUGGCUGAGAGGAGAAGAAGACGCUGCUGAGGAAGGCUGAGAAAGAAAGAAAUAUGGCAGGGAGGGAGACGGAGGAAAUGGGGUUGAGAGAGGCAGAAAGGGUAGGAGAUUUUCUUGAUGAGGGGGAACGGGUGGCUGUGAUAUGGGGAGCCAAGUCUUGGCCGGCGGCUGGAAUCAAAAACCAACCGGGGGGGGGCGGCUCUUUGUUUUUUUUUUUAGGAAAGGGGGCGGCUGUGUAUGAGAGGGUUUAGGUUAGGGUUUUUUGUAUUUUUUUUUUAGAUGUUGUCAAAAU
rnacentral:lncRNA from 1 species